AAUAAAUGCAGCCAUAAAUAUCCGUGUUUAGCGCUUUGACCAUCCGUCUUAUUUAAAAAAUUUAUGAAAAAUAUUAAAAAAAUUAGUCACACAUAAAUUACUAUUCAUGUUUUAUUAUCUAAUAACAAUAAAAAUACCUCUUUUUUCAAAUAAGACGAACGGUCAAACGUUGAACAUGAAUAGUGCUAAAACUGCACUUAUU
rnacentral:pre_miRNA from 1 species